ensembl:snRNA U6 U6 spliceosomal RNA
GUGCUCACAGCAGCAGCCAAUGUGCCAAAAUGGAAAAGAUACCGAGGUGACCAGCAUGACCCCUGUGUGGGGAUGACAUGCAAACUCACAAAGCAGUCCAUAUCUCA